AGGAACCGUACCCCAAACCGACACAGGUGGUCGGGUAGAGAAUACCAAGGCGCUUGAGAGAACUCGGGUGAAGGAACUAGGCAAAAUGGCACCGUAACUUCGGGAGAAGGUGCGCCGGCUAGGGUGAAGGAUUUACUCCGUAAGCUCUGGCUGGUCGAAGAUACCAGGCCGCUGCGACUGUUUAUUAAAAACACAGCACUCUGCAAACACGAAAGUGGACGUAUAGGGUGUGACGCCUGCCCGGUGCCGGAAGGUUAAUUGAUGGGGUUAGCGCAAGCGAAGCUCUUGAUCGAAGCCCCGGUAAACGGCGGCCGUAACUAUAACGGUCCUAAGGUAGCGAAAUUCCUUGUCGGGUAAGUUCCGACCUGCACGAAUGGCGUAACGAUGGCGGCGCUGUCUCCACCCGAGACUCAGUGAAAUUGAAAUCGCUGUGAAGAUGCAGUGUAUCCGCGGCUAGACGGAAAGACCCCGUGAACCUUUACUGUAGCUUUGCACUGGACUUUGAGCCUGCUUGUGUAGGAUAGGUGGGAGGCUUUGAAGCGUGGACGCCAGUUCGCGUGGAGCCAUCCUUGAAAUACCACCCUGGCAUGCUUGAGGUUCUAACUCUGGUCCGUAAUCCGGAUCGAGGACAGUGUAUGGUGGGCAGUUUGACUGGGGCGGUCUCCUCCUAAAGAGUAACGGAGGAGUACGAAGGUGCGCUCAGACCGGUCGGAAAUCGGUCGCAGAGUAUAAAGGCAAAAGCGCGCUUGACUGCGAGACAGACACGUCGAGCAGGUACGAAAGUAGGUCUUAGUGAUCCGGUGGUUCUGUAUGGAAGGGCCAUCGCUCAACGGAUAAAAGGUACUCCGGGGAUAACAGGCUGAUACCGCCCAAGAGUUCAUAUCGACGGCGGUGUUUGGCACCUCGAUGUCGGCUCAUCACAUCCUGGGGCUGAAGCCGGUCCCAAGGGUAUGGCUGUUCGCCAUUUAAAGUGGUACGCGAGCUGGGUUUAGAACGUCGUGAGACAGUUCGGUCCCUAUCUGCCGUGGACGUUUGAGAUUUGAGAGGGGCUGCUCCUAGUACGAGAGGACCGGAGUGGACGAACCUCUGGUGUUCCGGUUGUCACGCCAGUGGCAUUGCCGGGUAGCUAUGUUCGGAAAAGAUAACCGCUGAAAGCAUCUAAGCGGGAAACUUGCCUCAAGAUGAGAUCUCACUGGGAACUUGAUUCCCCUGAAGGGCCGUCGAAGACUACGACGUUGAUAGGCUGGGUGUGUAAGCGUUGUGAGGCGUUGAGCUAACCAGUACUAAUUGCCCGUGAGGCUUGACCAUAUAACACCCAAACA
rnacentral:rRNA from 1 species